GUGCUCACUUUGGCAGUUCAUAUACUAAAAUUGGAAAAAUACAGAAAUUAGCAUGGCCCUUGCACAAGUAUGACACAGAAAUUUGUGAAGCAUUCCAUGUUUUU
rnacentral:snRNA from 1 species